rnacentral:lncRNA from 1 species
UAUAUUGGUUAAUUUAGCUUGAUUCUGUUUAUGUGGGAGAAAUGAAUAUCUGGCCCUAAAUUCUAUGAAUAUUUCUAUGUAAAACUGAGUUAUGGUAUAUAUUUAAUGAAAAAAUAAAUGUUGGGUCCAUUUUAUUCUCCACAAAAAAAGUUAUGGUAGUUAAAAUUCUUAAAGAGGCAUCAGUUUGUUGUGCUGUUUAUUCUCUAACAGAAACUAAUGACAAUGAAGUCAUCAACCCCACAUAAAAUCCCUCAGGCACAGUCUUUGUCAUUUGUUAUUACUUCCUCUAAUGCUUUGCAAUGAGUGAUGAAAUGGUUUGAAAGAACACAAAAGAGGGCUCUGAAUUAUCUAAAACUGUCUAAUAUAGUUGUGGCUUGGUAUUUAAAAUUAUCUCUUGACUCACUGGAGGCAUUAAAUGGGGUGCAAAUGCAUUUCAUGUGCCUAUAAUUCUCAUCAAGAAAAUGUUAGAAGUAAAUCAGGGAUGGUUUGGUAAGUGUUUGGGAGUCUGAAGGAUUAAGGAGAAGAUAUUUUCUUGCAUUAUUUAUGAAGUGUGAAAUUGGGGAGAAAAUCUUACUCUGCAAGAAGGAAUUUCAUAGAGUAUUUUUAAAUUGCAGUAAGAACGUGGUUUUGGAAUGAAAUGCUGAUGCUCCUCAGGAGAUUCUUUUUUAAUGGAAAGAGUAUGUUUUUACAGAUCUGUUUUGUUUUUGUUCUUAAUUGAUUUAAUUACAUACAGAUUUUAUGUUCUGUUCCACAGAGUAAAUUUCUCAAGGCCUCUGAUAGCUGAGUGGAAUGACUACUAUGUGGCAUGAAGAAAUAGGCAUGUUACAUUUUCCAUCUGUUGAUUUGCAAGUCAUCACUGAAAUGGGGAAUCUAAUUUCACUGGAAGAUGUUCUGAGACUUCAAUACUAUGAAACGGAUAUAUGUGUUAUCAUGGGACUUCUACCAUGGCCCCAAGGCAGAUUUCUGAAAGGUUUCUAUUGCAUAUUCUACUCUUGCUUCAGGUUUGGAAUUCCUAGGAAUCUGCACACUUGAUCACAGAAGACCCUUUGCCCUAAAUGUUGUGUUUCUGAAUUCAAGUAAAUAAUGGUUAAAGGAGACUAAAAUUGAAAGUUAAUUUAAUUCAAUACAACAGCAGACUAUAUAGACUGUCAAAUUUCUCUGUCACUGUUGCAAUGUUUUACUCAAGCUGAACCACGUGCAUUUGAGACACAGAUUUAUGUCAAUUAAAAUUUAUUCCAAAACAGGUGUGAGAAACACCAAGGGAAGAUUAAAUAAAUGUGCAAGUAAGUUUCUAGGUGUUCUUGUU